rnacentral:rRNA from 1 species
CUACAGGGGUAUCUAAUCCCGUUCGCUCCCCUAGCUUUCGCACCUGAGCGUCAGUUUCUUCCCAGGACGCUGCCUUCGCCUUUGGUGUUCUUCCAGAUCUCUACGCAUUUCACCGCUCCACCUGGAAUUCCGCGUCCCUCUGAAGUACUCAAGUCGUCCAGUCUUCCCAGGCCUGCCCCAGUUAAGCCGGGACCUGUCACUGGAAACUUAGACGACCGCCUGCGUGCGCUUUACGCCCAGUAACUCCGGACAACGCUCGCCCCCUACGUAUUACCGCGGCUGCUGGCAC